CAACGAUCUCUAGCUGGUUUGAGAGGAUGACCAGCCACACNGGAAUUGAGAUACGGUCCAGACUCCUACGGGAGGCAGCAGUGGGGAAUAUUGCACAAUGAGGGAAACCUUGAUGCAGCUAUGCCGCGUGUGUGAAGAAGGCCUUCGGGUUGUAAAGCACUUUUAAUAAGGAGGAAAUCAAUAAUAAUAAUACUAUUAUUGUUUGACAUUACUUAUAGAAAAAGCACCGGCUAACUCCGUGCCAGCAGCCGCGGUAAUACGGAGGGUGCGAGCGUUAAUCGGAAUUACUGGGCGUAAAGAGUACGUAGGCGGUUUUUUAAGUCAGAUGUGAAAUCCCUAGGCUUAACUUAGGAAUUGCAUUUGAAACUGGUAGACUAGAGUCUCAUAGGGGGGGGUAGAAUUCCAGGUGUAGCGGUGAAAUGCGUAGAGAUCUGGAGGAAUACCGGUGGCGAAGGCGGCCCCCUGGGUGAAGACUGACGCUGAGGUACGAAAGCGUGGGGAGCGAACAGGAUUAGAUACCCUGGUAGUCCAGGCUGUAAACGAUGUCGAUUUGAAGGUUGUGGUCUUGAACUGUGGCUUUCGGAGCUAACGUGUUAAAUCGACCGCCUGGGGAGUACGGCCGCAAGGUUAAAACUCAAAUGAAUUGACGGGGGCCCGCACAAGCGGUGGAGCAUGUGGUUUAAUUCGAUGCAACGCGAAGGACCUUACCUACUCUUGACAUCCAAAGAACUAUGUAGAGAUAUAU
rnacentral:rRNA from 1 species